UACGUAGGUGGCAAGCGUUGUCCGGAAUUAUUGGGCGUGAAGCGCGCGCAGGCGGUCUCUUAAGUCUGAUGUGAAAUCCCGUGGCUUAACCACGGGCGGUCAUUGGAAACUGGGGGACUUGAGUGCAGAAGAGAAGAGCGGAAUUCCACGUGUAGCGGUGAAAUGCGUAGAGAUGUGGAGGAACACCAGUGGCGAAGGCGGCUCUUUGGUCUGUAACUGACGCUGAGGCGCGAAAGCGUGGGGAGCGAACAGG
rnacentral:rRNA from 1 species